AUUGAACGCUGGCGGCAGGCCUAACACAUGCAAGUCGAACGAGUGGCGGAUGGGAGCGGAAUGUCAGCGAAACUGCCUGAUGGAGGGGGAUAAGUACUGGAAACGGUAGCUAAUACCGCAUACUACAAGUUGUGCCCAGAUGGGUUUAGCUUUUUUGUGGGGUAACGGCUCACCAAGGCGACGCUCCCUAGCUGGUCUGAGAGGAGGCCCGGCCAACCUGGAACUGAGACACGGUCCAGACUCCUACGGGAGGCGGAGGUGGGGAUUAUUGCACAAUGGGCGCAAGCCUGAUGCAGCAAUGCGGCGUGUAGGAGGAGGGCUUUCGAGUUGUAAAGUACUUUCAGCGGGGAGGCGUUACCCGCAGAAGAAGCACCGGCUAACUCCGUGCCAGCAGCCGCGGUAAUAC
rnacentral:rRNA from 1 species